AAUCAACGCUGGCGGCGUGCCUAACACAUGCAAGUCGAACGAGAAAGUGGAGCAAUCCAUGAGUAAAGUGGCGACCGGGUGAGUAACACGUGACUAACCUACCUUCAAGGUGGGGGAUAACCUCGGGAAAACCGGGGCUAAUACCGCAUAAAAUCUUUGGGAUGAGAAGCCGAAGAUCAAAGGAGCAAUUCGCUGGAAGAGGGGGUCGCGGCUGAUUAGCUAGUUGGUGGGGUAAUGGCCCACCAAGGUCGUUUGAUCGGUAGCCGGCCUGAGAGGGCGCACGGCCACACUGGAACUGAAACACGGUCCAGACUCCUACGGGAGGCAGGCAGUGGGGAAUUUUGC
rnacentral:rRNA from 1 species